rnacentral:misc_RNA from 1 species
GAUGAAGAACGCAGCGAAAUGCGAUAAGUAAUGUGAAUUGCAGAAUUCAGUGAAUCAUCGAAUCUUUGAACGCACAUUGCGCCCAUUGGUAUUCCGAGGGGCAUGCCUGUUCGAGCGUCAUUAUAACCCCUCAAGCUCAGCUUGGUGUUGGGGCCUGCUGCACUGGCAGCCCUUAAAAUCAGUGGCGGCGCCAUCUGGCUCUAAGCGUAGUAAUUCUUCUCGCUAUGGAGUCCUGGUGGAUGCUUGCCAUCAACCCCCAAUUUUUCUAUGGUUGACCUCGGAUCAGGUAGGGAUACCCGCUGAACUUAAGCAUAUCAAUAAGCGGAGGA